GCAAGUCAUCCUGUAGGAGUCUUAAGAGAAAACGCAAAAUGGCCCCCCACUCAGAAAUCAUAGAGCAAUCACCUCUCAUGACUGACUAGGUCAUGUUACAUGGAUUUGUCAAGAGAUGAAACCCUGACCUCUUCAUGUUGUUCUCCAGGAGGUUGAAAACGUGCCACCACCUUCUGCCGAAAAUGGCCUCAUGGCUAUGAUUUGAAUAAUAGUAAUUAACAUCCAUGCAAGAUGAGUUUUAUUCACGGAGUUUUGAGACAUUAAUUAGUAUUAUAACAUCCCUGAGAGGUACCACCCAGGCCCAGCCCACUUCAACAUGCACCUCAUCUAUGAACUGCUGAAGCAUAUAAAGGGGCCAGACUUACAGAUCCAAAGCUGCAGGAUCUCCAUGAUUCAAGGAAACAAGAGGAUAUCCAAGAAGAGUCCCAGUGAGCACCCAGUAUCGACAGUGUAGGAAAAGUCAGAGGCCUUGAACAAGACCAAUGACUCAUUGUAAUGAACACCUACAAGUAAAGAUGAAUGGUAUACCGUGUGACUCACUGGGCCACACUACAGCUUCCACAUUGAGAUCUUUGUUUUGUUUUUCUUGUUUUUGGUGGGUUCACUUUUAAAUUUUGUUUUGGGGGGAGAUUGCA
rnacentral:lncRNA from 1 species